UCUUGGAGCAAGGAUCUCAAAUCAAAAGACCCUAGGUCUCUAUCACUUAUGGUUUACCAGUUAGAAAUGCAAAUCACUUAUAUCAAAUACAUAAGGGGGAAUAACUCUCAUAUGGAGUCUCUGAAUAGCUUCAGUCACAAGAAAAACAGUGUUUGGGGAGAUAACUCUUACAACGCAAAGUAUUUAGUUACGCGGUUGUCAGUUUUAAAGCAUAUAAACUAUACGAUAUCAUAUUCCAAAUAUCUAAGCGCCAUCUUUUGAAACAACAAAAUUACGCAAGAAAAAAAUUAGGCGGAAGAAAAAAAAAAUAAUAAUAAUAAUAAUCAGAACAAAAUCAAGAGGUCUUUCGACGGAAAGGUGGAAAAACCUAAUUAAAUACAAAAAAAAAAGAAAGAAAAAUCUGAAAUUAUGAAAGUAUCAUUCGAUCUUUGAUUGCUUGCGUGUAAUCUACAUAGCUUUAGCUAUAUGACGUUAACCAAACUAAGUGAUCAGAUGAAAAAUUGUCAAAUUGAUCCAUUUUUGACUAGAGCAUGUUUCGUCUAUAGAAAUAUACCUCUAUUAUAAGUUCAUGUAAUAUAAUCCAUACAUAUCUUCGUUUAUUCCUAUUUUAUAUCUUUAUAACGAUAUUUUUUUCUUUUUAUGGGUAGAAAAUACUUUAUCUAGCAGAUCAAGACUAAACAGACAACAUAUUAUUAACUUUGUUUUUAAAACAAUUAGUUUUUGAAAAUUCCCUUUAAUAAGGAAUGCCUUAUAUCCAGAGAGGCAGUGCUUAAGAAAAUUUUGUGAUAUUAAAUCCAUAUAAAUAGGGAGACUGUUAUGAAAAAAAUCCAAUUAGUUUGUACAUUUUCUAGUCAUAGAAAAACAAAGAAUUUGACACCAAAUCAGUACAUUCACAGCAAAAAAAAUCAACAAAAAACAACACACACACACACAUACACACAAAA
rnacentral:lncRNA from 1 species